AGAGUUUGAUCCUGGCUCAGGACGAACGCUGGCGGCACGCUUAACACAUGCAGGUCGAACGAGAGAAGAGGAGCUUGCUUUUCUGAUCUAGUGGCGGACGGGUGAGUAACACGUGAGCAAUCUGCCUUUCAGAGGGGGAUACCGAUUGGAAACGAUCGUUAAUACCGCAUAACAUAAUUGAACCGCAUGAUUUGAUUAUCAAAGAUUUAUCGCUGAAAGAUGAGCUCGCGUCUGAUUAGCUAGUUGGUAAGGUAACGGCUUACCAAGGCGACGAUCAGUAGCCGGACUGAGAGGUUGAUCGGCCACAUUGGGACUGAGACACGGCCCAGACUCCUACGGGAGGCAGCAGUGGGGAAUAUUGCACAAUGGAGGAAACUCUGAUGCAGCGAUGCCGCGUGAGGGAAGAAGGUUUUAGGAUUGUAAACCUCUGUCUUCAGGGACGAAAAAAGACGGUACCUGAGGAGGAAGCUCCGGCUAACUACGUGCCAGCAGCCGCGGUAAUACGUAGGGAGCGAGCGUUGUCCGGAAUUACUGGGUGUAAAGGGAGCGUAGGCGGGAUCGCAAGUCAGAUGUGAAAACUAUGGGCUUAACCCAUAAACUGCAUUUGAAACUGUGGUUCUUGAGUGAAGUAGAGGUAAGCGGAAUUCCUAGUGUAGCGGUGAAAUGCGUAGAUAUUAGGAGGAACAUCAGUGGCGAAGGCGGCUUACUGGGCUUUAACUGACGCUGAGGCUCGAAAGCGUGGGGAGCAAACGGGAUUAGAUACCCUGGUAGUCCACGCCGUAAACGAUGAUUACUAGGUGUGGGGGGACUGACCCCUUCCGUGCCGCAGCAAACGCAAUAAGUAAUCCACCUGGGCAGUACGACCGCAAGGUUGAAACUCAAAGGAAUUGACGGGGGCCCGCACAAGCAGUGGAGUAUGUGGAUUAAUUCGAAGCAACGCGAAGAACCUUACCAGGUCUUGACAUCGUAUGCAUAGCUCAGAGAUGAGUGAAAUCUCUUCGGAGACAUAUAGACAGGUGGUGCAUGGUUGUCGUCAGCUCGUGUCGUGAGAUGUUGGGUUAAGUCCCGCAACGAGCGCAACCCUUACUGUUAGUUGCUACGCAAGAGCACUCUAGCAGGACUGCCGUUGACAAAACGGAGGAAGGUGGGGAUGACGUCAAAUCAUCAUGCCCCUUAUGACCUGGGCCUCACACGUACUACAAUGGCUGUCAACAGAGGGAAGCAAAGCCGCGAGGUGGAGCGAACCCCUAAAAGCAGUCUUAGUUCGGAUUGUAGGCUGCAACCCGCCUACAUGAAGUCGGAAUUGCUAGUAAUCGCAGAUCAGCAUGCUGCGGUGAAUACGUUCCCGGGCCUUGUACACACCGCCCGUCACGCCAUGGGAGUCGGUAACACCCGAAGCCUGUAGUCUAACCGCAAGGAGGACGCAGUCGAAGGUGGGAUUGAUGACUGGGGUGAAGUCGUAACAAGGUA
rnacentral:rRNA from 1 species